GAUGAACGCUAGCUACAGGCUUAACACAUGCAAGUCGAGGGGCAGCAUCAUCAAAGCUUGCUUUGAUGGAUGGCGACCGGCGCACGGGUGAGUAACACGUAUCCAACCUGCCGACAACACUGGGAUAGCCUUUCGAAAGAAAGAUUAAUACCGGAUGGCAUAGUUUUCCCGCAUGGGAUGAUUAUUAAAGAAUUUCGGUUGUCGAUGGGGAUGCGUUCCAUUAGGCAGUUGGCGGGGUAACGGCCCACCAAACCUACGAUGGAUAGGGGUUCUGAGAGGAAGGUCCCCCACAUUGGAACUGAGACACGGUCCAAACUCCUACGGGAGGCAGCAGUGAGGAAUAUUGGUCAAUGGACGAGAGUCUGAACCAGCCAAGUAGCGUGCAGGAUGACGGCCCUAUGGGUUGUAAACUGCUUUUAUAAGGGAAUAAAGUGAGUCUCGUGAGACUUUUUGCAUGUACCUUAUGAAUAAGGACCGGCUAAUUCCGUG
rnacentral:rRNA from 1 species